AAAGUACUCCCUCCGUCCAAAAAUUCGUGUCUUAGAUUUGUCUAGAUAUGGAUGUAUCAAGUCACAUUUCAGUAUUAGAUACAUCCGUAUCUAGACAAAUCUAAGACAAGAAAUUUGGGACAGAGGGAGUAGUUG
rfam:Triticum urartu cultivar G1812 contig838371, whole genome shotgun sequence.